rnacentral:rRNA from 1 species
AAUCAACGCUGGCGGCGUGCCUCAGACAUGCAAGUCGAACGAUUAAAGCUCUCUUCGGAGAGUGUAUAGAGUGGCGCACGGGUGAGUAACACGUAAGUAAUCUACCUUUGAGUGGGGAAUAACCCGGGGAAACCCGAGCUAAUACCGCAUAAUGCAGCGGCAUCGCAAGAUGACAGUUGUUAAAGGAGCAAUCCGCUUAAAGAGGAGCUUGCGGCAGAUAGCUAGUUGGUAAGGUAAUGGCUUACCAAGGCUACGAUCUGUAUCCGGUCUAAGAGGACGGUCGGACACACUGACACUGAAUAACGGGUCAGACUCCUACGGGAGGCAGCAGUGGGGAAUCUUGCGCAAUGGGCGAAAGCCUGACGCAGCGACGCCGCGUGAGGGAUGACGGCCU